GUGCUCGAUUCAGCAGCAUAUAUCCUAAAAUUGAAAUAGUACAGAGAUUAGCAUGGUCCCUGUGCUAGGAUAACAUGCAAAUUCGUGAAGUGUUCUGUAUUUUU